UGGGAAGAGGUGGGAUUCGGGCUAGAAAGGGUGCGGAAGCCUGCAGAAGAAGGCGGCUGAGUUCUGGUGUGGGUGGAGGAAGGGAACGUAUUUAAAGGGCCCAAGUCCCAGGAGCAGGUAGACAUUUAAAGGGACAGGUGCCCCAAAGAGAAGAGACAUUUAAAGGUGUAGUUGCCCAAGAUAGAGCAGACCCGAGGAGCGGAGCUCAGCGGACACUAGACCUUUUAAAGUGGUAGCUGGAGCAGGACAUUUUAAGACUAGAGCCAAGCUUAGAAAACACUUAAAAGAGGCAUGGGCUGGAUUUUGAGAACAUGUUUACUAAAGAGGCAGGGAUAAAGGCGUCAGUUGUCAAGGGCCUGGUGAGGAAGACCAUGCCCUCCUGCUCUCCCCCAUUUUCCUUUCUGGCUCCUCCAGGUUGCCUCGACCCCGGACCCCCUGUUCCCAGGCUAUGGCCCCCAGUGCCCUUUAGAUCUGGCGGGACUCCCGUUCUUGCGCCCCCUAUUUGGGGGUCUGGGUGGCUACCGGAGGGCCUUGCAGAGGGGCAGAGAAGGCAGGACCAUGGCAUCUAGGGCCUCUGCCCCUCCCCCAGGGCGCAGCGUGACGGCGGGCAUCAUCAUUGUUGGAGAUGAGAUCCUCAAGGGACACACUCAGGACACCAACACCUACUUCCUGUGCCGGACGCUGCGCUCCCUGGGGGUCCAGGUGUGCCGAGUCUCUGUGGUUCCUGAUGAGGUAGCCACCAUCGCCGCCGAGAUCACCUCUUUCUCCAGCCGCUUCACUCACGUCCUCACGGCGGGGGGCAUCGGUCCCACUCACGACGAUGUGACCUUUGAGGCGGUGGCACAGGCCUUUGGGGAUGAGCUCACGCCACACCCCGAGCUGCAGGCCGCCAUCCAGGCCCUAGGCAAGCAGGGCUGGGAGAAGCUGUCACUGGUGCCCUCCUCUGCCCGCCUGCAUUACGGCACAGACCCUCACACCGGCCGCCCCUUCAAAUUCCCACUGGUCUCGGUCCGCAACGUCUACCUCUUCCCCGGCAUCCCAGAGCUGCUGCGGCGGGUGCUGGAGGGGCUCAAGGGACUGUUUCAAAACACAGCUGUUCAGUUCCACCUGCGGGAGCUGUAUGUGGCCGCUGACGAGGCCUCCAUCGCCCCCAUCCUGGCUGAGGCCCAGACCCACUUUGGACAGAGGCUUGGCCUGGGUUCCUACCCUGACUGGGGCAGCAACUACUAUCAGGUGAAGGUGACACUGGACGCACAGGAAGAAGGGCCGCUGGAGGAAUGCCUGGCCUACCUGACCGCACGUCUUCCUCGGGGGUCGCUGGUCCCCUACGUACCCAACGCCAUGGAGCAGGCCAGUGAGGCUGUAUACAAACUCGCCAAGUCAGGGUCCUCUCUAGGGAAAAAGGUGGCAAGUGCCCUGCAGACCAUUGAGACCGCCCUGGCGCGGUACAGGCUCACCCAGCUCUGCGUGGGCUUCAACGGGGGCAAGGACUGCACUGCCCUCCUGCACCUCGUCCAUGCGGCUGUGCAGAGGAAAUGCCCUGGCACUCAAGAACCCCUCCAGAUCCUAUACAUCCGCAGCAUCUCCCCUUUCCCUGAGCUGGAGCAGUUUCUGCAGGACACCAUCAAGAGGUACAAUCUGCGGGUGCUGGAGGCUGAGGGCGAGAUGAAGCAGGCCCUGCGCCAGCUGCGGGCACAGCACCCCCAGCUGGAGGCGGCCCUGAUGGGCACCCGCCGUACGGACCCCUCCUCCUGCAGCCUCUGUCCCUUCAGCCCCACCGACCCAGGCUGGCCCUCAUUCAUGCGCAUCAACCCGCUGCUGGUAAUGCAGAGGGAGGCCUGACUGCCCUCGGUCCGUGCCCCCUGUCAGUCAUUGCACCCUGGCUUCCUGAGGACUGGACCUACAGAGACAUCUGGGACUUCCUGCGUCAGCUGUUUGUCCCCUACUGUAUCCUGUAUGACCGAGG